GGGGUCAACCUCCAUUGUGACACUUCUAAACCCCACCAUCCAAAAUUCCCAAGGAGUGGCAGCUGGGGCCAGAAAUGGAGGGACCAGAACCACAGAACACAAACAAGGGUCCUUUGGCUGCGUUGACGUCUUCAAACAGCCCUGCUCAAGAAGCUCACGACCAGCAUCCCAGGGCUUGAGAAGACAAAAAUGGCAGCUGAGAGCUUUUCAACAUGCCCUAGAUCAAAGGAAGCCUAUCUGGACACAGCAAAUAUUAUUAACAUUAUCAAUGCAGCCAUCACUGGGCACUCGGUCUCCAUUUUCACUCGAAUGAAGUUAGUGUGUGAAAACCCAAUUAGGAGAGAGAAACAAGAUGUACUUUAGAGGUGCGUCCACCACAGCCCAUCUCAGCCUUGAAUAAUCAUCCCUUCCGGUGUGUGCUUGAGUAGUUUACCAGAAUGUACUCACGUACACAGAAAGCAGAAGUGACAGUCAAGGAACUGGAGCCGAUGCAAGGCCCUAGGGACACGGCGUACGUCCCCCUCCUUCUCGCUGCCAACGUCCGGGCAUACAGGGCUCUUCAAAAUGUGACCCAGUGCCCUCGCUUACUGACUGCUGGGACCUGCCUUUUCCUGGAGUGCAUAACCAGGCUCACUCACCCCAGUGGCUCUCAGAGAAGGCCCCGACGACUUCCUGUGCUACACUCUGGCACUCAGCAUGGCAUAGUCAGUCCUGGUGACAGACAGUGGCAGCUUGGCAGCUUCUUACAGAACACCGAACAGGUAACAGAGAGCCUGGGACAG
rnacentral:lncRNA from 1 species